rnacentral:rRNA from 1 species
CUACGGGCUGCUGCAGUGGGGAAUAUUGGACAAUGGGCGCAAGCCUGAUCCAGCAAUGCCGCGUGAGUGAAGACGGCCUUAGGGUUGUAAAACUCUUUCGCUAGGGAAGAUAAUGACUGUACCUAGUAAAGAAGUCCCGGCUAACUCCGUGCCAGCAGCCGCGGUAAUACGGGAGGGGACUAGCGUUGUUCGGAAUUACUGGGCGUAAAGAGUUCGUAGGCGGACUGACAAGUUAGAGGUGAAAUCCCAGGGCUCAACCCUGGAACUGCCUUUAAAACUGUCAGUCUAGAGACCGGAAGAGGUCAGGGGAAUACCUAGUGUAGAGGUGAAAUUCGUAGAUAUUAGGUGGAACACCAGUGGCGAAGGCGCCUAACUGGUCCGGUACUGACGCUGAGGAACGAAAGCGUGGGGAGCAAACAGGAUUAGAUACCCCGGUAGUC